UGAUGGGCCUUAUAAUGGG
rnacentral:snRNA from 1 species